GCAUAUCAAUAAGCGGAGGAAAAGAAACCAACAGGGAUUGCCUUAGUAACGGCGAGUGAAGCGGCAAAAGCUCAAAUUUGAAAGCUAGCACCUUCGGUGUUCGCGUUGUAAUUUGAAGAUAGUUUCCUUGAGUAGUCCUUUAUCUAUGUUCCUUGGAACAGGACGUCAUAGAGGGUGAGAACCCCGUAUGAUUUUGGAUACUACUCUUUGUGGGAUUCUAUCGAAGAGUCGAGUUGUUUGGGAAUGCAGCUCUAAGUGGGUGGUAAAUUCCAUCUAAAGCUAAAUAUUGGCGAGAGACCGAUAGCGAACAAGUACAGUGAUGGAAAGAUGAAAAGAACUCUGAAGAGAGAGUGAAAAAGUACGUGAAAUUGCUGAAAGGGAAGGGCUUGAGGUCAGACUUGGUGUUUAAUGAUUAUCAGUUCUUCUUGGACUGUGCACUCGUUUUUCACCGGGCCAAUAUCAGUUUUAGCGGUAGAGUACCCCUUGAAAUGUGGCUUCCUUCGGGGAGUGUUAUAGUCUUGGGGAGAUCUACUUGCUGGGACUGAGGACUGCGCUUCGGCAAGGAUAUGGCG
rnacentral:rRNA from 1 species